rnacentral:rRNA from 1 species
UGGGGAAUUUUGCACAAUGGGGGAAACCCUGAUGCAGCGACGCCGCGUGAUUUAGAAGGCCUUCGUGUUGUAAAAAUCUUUUCUAUGGGAAGAAAAUGACAGUACCAUAGGAAUAAGGACCGGCUAAUUACGUGCCAGCAGCCGCGGCAAUACGUAAGGUCCGAGCGUUGUCCGGAAUCAUUGGGCGUAAAGGGUACGUAGGCGGGUAAGCAAGUUAGAAGUGAAAUCCUAUAGCUCAACUAUAGUAAGCUUUUAAAACUGCUCAUCUUGAGGUAUGGAAGGGAAAGUGGAAUUCCUAGUGUAGCGGUGAAAUGCGCAGAUAUUAGGAGGAAUACCGGUGGCGAAGGCGACUUUCUGGCCAUAACCUGACGCUGAGGUACGAAAGCGUGGGUAGCAAACAGG